rnacentral:rRNA from 1 species
GUGGGGAAUAUUGGGCAAUGGGCGAAAGCCUGACCCAGCAACGCAGCGUGAAGGAAGAAGGUUUUCGGAUUGUAAACUUCUGUCCUCAGGGAAGAAGAAAGUGACGGUACCUGAGGAGGAAGCCCCGGCUAACUACGUGCCAGCAGCCGCGGUAAUACGUAGGGGGCGAGCGUUGUCCGGAAUGACUGGGCGUAAAGGGCGCGUAGACGGCUGUCUAAGUCUGGAGUGAAAGUCCUGCUUUCAAGGUGGGAAUUGCUUUGGAGACUGGAUGGCUUGAGUGCGGAAGAGGUAAGUGGAAUUCCCAGUGUAGCGGUGAAAUGCGUAGAGAUUGGGAGGAACACCAGUGGCGAAGGCGACUUACUGGGCCGUAACUGACGUUGAUGCGCGAAAGCGUGGGGAGCGAACAGGAUUAGAAACCCUUGUAGUCC